GAAGUCGAGUGGCGAACGGGUGAGUAACACCUGAGAAACCUACCCUGGAGUGGGGAAUAACUCAAAGAAAUUCGAGCUAAUACCGCCUACCUUCUUACCCUCGAAUGGUGGUUUGAAGAAAGAUUUAUCCCUCUGGAAGGGUCUCCCGGCCUAUCUUUUAUUUGGUGCGGUACCGCCUCACUACGGCAU
rnacentral:rRNA from 1 species